CAGCCCUUGACAUGGGACGUUUGACCGGGAGAGAUCCCGGUCUUCAGUUCGGCUGGCGUCCACACAGGUGCUGCAUGGCUGUCGUCAGCUCGUGUCGUGAGAUGUUGGGUUAAGUCCCGCAACGAGCGCAACCCUCAUCUUCAGUUGCCAUCAGGUCAAGCUGGGCACUCUGAAGGAACUGCCGGUGACAAGCCGGAGGAAGGCGGGGAUGACGUCAAGUCCUCAUGGCCCUUAUGGGCUGGGCUACACACGUGCUACAAUGGCGGUGACAGAGGGAUGCGAAGGGGCGACCCUUGGCCAAUCUCAAAAAGCCGUCUCAGUUCGGAUUGUUCUCUGCAACUCGAGAGCAUGAAGCUGGAAUCGCUAGUAAUCGCGGAUCAGCACGCCGCGGUGAAUACGUUCCC
rnacentral:rRNA from 1 species